GGGGAUUUAGCUCAGCGGUAGAGCGCUUGCCUAGGAAGCGCAAGGCCCUGGGUUCGGUCCCCAGCUCCG
rfam:Rattus norvegicus chromosome 15, whole genome shotgun sequence.